rnacentral:rRNA from 1 species
UACGUAGGGGCCGAGCGUUGUCCGGAGUUAUUGGGCGAAGCGCGCGCAGGCGGCUUCGCGCGCCGACGUGAAAGCCCCCGGCUUACCGGGGAGGUCGUCGGGGACGGUGGAGCUUGAGGGCGGGAGAGGUCGGUGGAAUUCCCGGUGUAGUGGUGAAAUGCGUAGAGAUCGGGAGGAACACCUGGUGGCGAAGGCGGCCGGACUGGGC